rnacentral:rRNA from 1 species
AGUACGCUAUGUGAAUCAUCGAAUCUUUGAACGCACCUUGCACUUUAGGAGUCAAUUCUAAAGUAUACCUGUUUGAGUAUCAUUUACAAUUAUCCAAUUUUAUUAUUGGGAUUUGAGAGUUAAAGGGCCAAGGUGCGCUUUUCUCUUUAAAUGUAGUGGUUAACCAAGGAUAAGCGCGCUUAUUUCUUGAAUGAGGAUAAUUACUCUCAGUAGUAAUAAAGAAUCAGGAAAGAAUAUGAAAUGCGAUAUCCAUAUAUAUAUAUCAUAAAAUUGGUUCUCUUUAAAAGAGCAGACUUUUACUUUUAAGAGUCAUCGACUUGUACAAUUGUGAUCUCAAAUCAGGCAAGACUACCCGCUGAACUUAAGCAUAUCAAUAAGCGGAGG